UACAGAGGGGGCAAGCGUUGUUCGGAAUUACUGGGCGUAAAGGGCGCGUAGGCGGCCUUCUAAGUCGAACGUGAAAUCCCCGGGCUCAACCCGGGAACUGCGUCCGAUACUGGAAGGCUUGAAUCCGGGAGAGGGAUGCGGAAUUCCAGGUGUAGCGGUGAAAUGCGCAGAUAUCUGGAGGAACACCGGUGGCGAAGGCGGCAUCCUGGACCGGCAUUGACGCUGAGGCGCGAAAGCCAGGGGAGCAAACGGG
rnacentral:rRNA from 1 species